UCUCUCCUCUUCUCCCUCGCUUGGGAUCAGACCCGCAUUUUGAUUUGACUGAUCUCUCAGACUUUCUGACUUCUUCCUCUUUUUUUUCCUCCCAGGCAUUUCCUUAAUAAAAUUCUGGCACGUGUCAUUCCAUCUUGGCCUCUGCUUCUUGGAGAUGCCCAGACUGACACAAGUUAACAGAGGGGGUCCGCUGGACAAACCGGUUCACCAUCAAUCCCACCAAUACUGUGCCUUGGAUUGCAGCCCCUCCCCCCCCCGCCCCGCUAUGGACUGAGCUGUGUCUUUCCAACAAUUCCUCUGCUGAAGUUCUAAAGUCUCGUACUUCAGAAUGUGGCUUUAUGUGGAGACAGCGUCUUUAAGGAGGUAAUGAAGUUAAAAUGAGAUCAUCAGAGUGGGUCCAAAUGGAAGAUGACUGGUGUCCUUACAAGGAGAGAGAUUAGGGACACAACAUGCAUUGAGGGAGGGCAUGUGAAGACACAGGGAGAGAGGGCUCCAAAGAAAUCAACCCUACCGACGCCUGGUCUUGGGCCUGUAGGCCUCAAGAGAUGUGGGAAGAUAAAUUUCUGUUGUUUAAAUCCCCCGGGGCUCUGUACUCUGUGAUGGCAUCCGGAGCAAAGUAAUACAGUCCCCUGACAUUUUAUGGCCUGAAUUGGAAGGUGCCUUCUACUCUCUUUGAGCUCCUUACUCUUUCUCCACUCCCGUUCUGUGUGGGGUCCUUCACCUGCCUGACAGGGAGCCCUUCAAUCUCUUGCACACACAAAGGACAUAGACAACACGCCCAGCACCCUGAUAAUAGGGGUUCUGAGUAUCCCGCACCAACCCACAUCCGCAAUGGAGAGUAUACACUGGCUUGAAAUUUCAGGAAGUCUUUUGGAGUAAGUUUCUCCGGACGAGUUUUAAUCUCACCGAGGAUCCCUCUUAGAGUAGAUGGAUAGAGAAUUAAUUUCUUGUUGCUAAAGUUCUGGGGGGAGGGGGUGGAUCUCUUUUCCUUUUAUGCCACUAUUUUAUGCCGUUCUACCAAGGUUCCCCACGGCUCUCGGCCGGCAUGUGCCAGAUGGAAACUGGGUUCAUUCAUGUCGCUCUCAUCUCAGUCCUUCCCAUUUUGAGAACGCUGACUUCUGACUAAACUCUGAUCCUUACAGGUCAUAAGACCUUCACAAGCUACCAACCACCGCAUGUAGGAGAAUGGCCCCCAAGACCACUCAUCACAGGUCUUCUGUGGAAAUCACCACCUUGUCACCUUCAGAUUCUAGCUCAGAGAGAUUGAAGGAGAUGUUGCCUGACUAUGUAACUCAUAUUGGCCUCCAUAGAAGCUUUUAUGAGUUGAAAAAAGUAGUGUGCACAGAAAGACUAGACAGAGUGGACACUAUUUUUUUUUAAAUGAUUAAUUAAAUUAACUAAUUAAAAUUUACAAAGAUGAGCAAGGAAAAAAGCUAAUGCAAAUAAUUCUGCGAAGGUGAUGAAAUUAAAGCUGUGUGCGUGGUUUUGAAAUCUUCUUUAAUGUAUAAAUGACUUUAAUGGAUAAAUGUAUACACUUCUUUCACGUAUAAAGAAAAUCAAAAAAAGGAUAAACUGGUGUAAAAUAAAAAUUCAUCGGGGGAGGAGCCAAGAUGGCGGAACAGCAAGGGAAGUUUGUGUGUGUGUCUCUCGCGUCCCUGAAAUACAACCAGACCAACACUAAACCGUCCUGCACACCUAGAAAACGGAUCCGAGGAUUCACACAACAAUCUGCGCCACCUGAACCACCGAACUCAGCAGAUGGUAGCAGGUGCAUG